rnacentral:lncRNA from 1 species
UUUCGCAGGAAUACAACUAAGGGACCAUCGCUGAAGCCGGAGCUUACCAGAAUCAGCAAGAAGAAGCUGGGAAGUUACGGCCUUGUACGGCGGCGCCCCGUGGAAGCAGCAAGAAGCCGGGGGUCCGGGCUCGAGUGCGGCGCACACCAGCGACGAGGAGUGGUGGUGGACCGGCGUCGUUGGCCUGGCUGAUCAAGUGGACAGAGGGAAACACGCCGGGGAGGA